CGANAAUAUUAUUAUUAGACGAGAAGACCCCAUGGAGCUUUAAACUUAUUACCAGUUACUUAACCUCUAAACCACAAUAUGUAGUAAAAAUGUUCUUAAUAGUUUUCGGCUGGGGUGGCCCUGGAGNAAAACAAACCCUCCAGAAUGAACGGAAUAAUAAUCCUAAUCUAAGAAUUACAACUCAAANAAUCAAAAAACUGACAUUAUUGAUCCAAUUAUUUGAUUAACGAAACNNGUUACCCUGGGGAUAACANCGCANUCCAUUUUGAGAGCCCCUAUCAACAAAUGGGUUUACNACCUCGAUGUUGGAUCGGGGUAUCCCGGUGGCGCANCCGCUACUAAUGGUUCGUUUGUUCAACNAUUAAUAACCCCACGUGAUCUGAGUUCAAACCNGA
rnacentral:rRNA from 1 species